GAUGAAGAACGCAGCGAAAUGCGAUAAGUAAUGUGAAUUGCAGAAUUCAGUGAAUCAUCGAAUCUUUGAACGCACAUUGCGCCCUUUGGUAUUCCUUAGGGCAUGCCUGUUCGAGCGUCAUUUACAAAUUCAAGCUCAGCUUGGUGAUGGGUGUCUGUCCCGCCUUUGCGUGUGGACUCGCCUCAAAUGCAGUUGGCAGCUUAUCCAUCGGCUCUAAUCGCAGCAGAUUUGCGUUGGGCGUCGAGCGGACGGGCUUUCCAGUAAGCAAACCCCCCAAAAUUGACCUCGGAUCAGGUAGGGAUACCCGCUGAACUUAAGCAUAUCAAUAAGGCGGAGGA
rnacentral:misc_RNA from 1 species